AUCGCCAUUUUGAAUAAUCACCUAUUUCAAGUCUUAUCAGAAGCGUUACAUGGGAGUAUUUUAUAAGAACUACGUAUCUUGGAGCAAUUGGAGGCCCAGAUUUUCAUUGAACAACUUCGGCCGAUAUUCUCACCGUGGAGCCUCAGAUACAUUGCUUCAUCCAGCGAGGAUACUAGAGUUCCACGACUAGCAUCAUAUAUAGACACUGAAGAUGAAGAUCGUUUUGGUCCUGAUGCUGUGCCUUGUCGGUUUAAUCGGACACAGUGAAGGCUGUACUUGCAGAAUUCCUGAUCUGUCGACGGCGAAUGACACUGAAGUGUGCAACUGUCAGUGGGAAUCUACUGACGGGAUUGCAGUUGUAAAAAUUAUGACAUUCGAUAUCAACUCUUAAGUAAUGCAUCAACGAUAGCGUCGGUCUCACCAAGAUGGCGUCGGCCAUAUCAUGAUGGCGCCGGCUCUACCAAGAAAGAAUCGAAUCGACCAAGAUAUCAAAAACUAGAAUAGGAAAACGGGGAAUAGCGGACGCAUGCACGCGCUCGAUGUUUUGUGUAUUUUGUUGAUUAAAAUGCAGCUGAUCAAAAUAAAAUCGUUGAAUUG